UACGGAGGGUGCAAACGUUAUCCGGAUUUACUGGGUUUAAAGGGUGCGUAGGCGGGCUUUUAAGUCAGCGGUGAAAUCUCCGGGCUCAACCCGGAAAUUGCCGUUGAUACUAUUAGUCUUGAAUUAAGUUGAGGUGGGCGGAAUAUGUCAUGUAGCGGUGAAAUGCUUAGAUAUGACAUAGAACACCGAUUGCGAAGGCAGCUCGCUAAACUUAUAUUGACGCUGAGGCACGAAAGCGUGGGGAUCAAACAGG
rnacentral:rRNA from 1 species